CAGUAGCCGCGGUAAUACGGAGGGUGCAAGCGUUAAUCGGAAUUACUGGGCGUAAAGCGCACGCAGGCGGUCUGUCAAGUCAGAUGUGAAAUCCCCGGGCUUAACCUGGGAACUGCAUUUGAAACUGGCAGGCUAGAGUCUUGUAGAGGGGGGUAGAAUUCCAGGUGUAGCGGUGAAAUGCGUAGAGAUCUGGAGGAAUACCGGUGGCGAAGGCGGCCCCCUGGACAAGGACUGACGCUCAGGUGCGAAAGCGUGGGGAGCAAACAGGAUUAGAUACCCGUGUAGUCCCUGUCUCUUAUAC
rnacentral:rRNA from 1 species